UUCAUUGGCAGGCUAAGCGUUUGAGAGUUUUGGGUAUGAAAGGCCCAUCUUUGUUUGGCAUCUGAAAAACUUCCCCUACACUCUCUUCACUUCAAAAUCAAGUUUUACUCCUCUCAUCUUCAUCUACUUGAUUAUUACACGGAAGUUCAAUUUUCUUCCUUUUUUUUUCUUUAAUUGUAUCAUGCUAGCAAUUAUUUGGUCAAGAUGUUGGUGGAUCAUAACUUGAAUAAUGAAGAUGGAUAAUUGAAGUCAUAUAGAUUUAGGGUUUUAGAGAUGGAUUAAAUUUAUGUUGGGAUUUCAAGUUACAAUUUUGAUAUAUGAUCGAGAUUUUAGAAGGUAUAUGGUUUCAUAAGCGACAUUUGCUUGAGUCUGUACAGCCCGAUGCUAGGCCACAUGUGGUCAGUGGUUGGAAUUAGUGGAUACCGGUCUCCUGAUAAAUUCAGGUUCGCCUGAAGCUUGCAACCCAUCGUCAUCUCUUGGAAUGAGGUUGUGAGAAAAAAUACGAGGUCGCUUACGUUUACAUAUCAUGCAUAUUUCUGUGGUAUGCUGUCCAGUUAACAUUUGAUGAUGUGUUUUUCCCCCCGAUUUGGUUGUUUUAUGGUCGAACUUAUUUACAAGACUCCGGUUUCUAUGUUGUUGCAAAUGAUCAAACGCUUAAAGUUAUAUGACUGCCUAAACUGUUUUUUGGCCAUAAUGUUAUAUAUGGCAGACGUUAUUGGUUAUGUGUCUGUCUUGAAGAAUUUUGUCGUGAAUAGCCAAAGUUCAACGACUCUUGGUUAAUCUGGCCAACCACAGGUAUGAAUUCAUGGAUAUGACUUCCUCACCCUACUGGUUACAUUUAGAUGCGAGUGGUUGUGCACGGGGGUCAUGAGGUGUGGCUCAAGUUAUGAGGAAAGUUAGGCGAGGACCUGAUUGAGAAGAUUGGUGAAAGGUCUGCUGUUAUAGUUUCAUCUUGACUUCAAUAAAUUCCAAAUAAGCAAAUACUAUCUUGCUAAAAAUUGGAAUGUGUGGCGACAUCUUUUCAACUGUGUGACCCGCGGCAUGAUCAGUUUUACCCUGUUUGACUUUCAAACCAAAUUUGUCUAUCAGGCUCAUCAUGACACUCAGUUUUGAUGAGGAUGUCGUUCCUGCAUUGAAUGAAUUCAAAGUCGAUAUCAGUAAGCAUCUUUGAACCCUUACUUAAUGAAAAAUACAACAUAUUCAGUUGCAUACCGAUUAUCAUGCCUUUUGGAUUGUGGUGAUGUUGGUCUGAGUGAAUCCUCUAUGCCAAUUAUACAUACAGAAGCAAAGCUAGGUAAAAUUGUUGAAAUACUGGACCGAUGACGUGAUAAAAGCAAUGAUGUACCUAUUUUCCUCUCUCUUUGCUACACUGUACAUUGAGUUACUCAUUAUGUGCAUUUUGUGUCCUGUUGGGUUUAAAAUGCUCCAAGUUGUGACAUUCAGGUGCAAGGUCGAGAUCACUAAUGUUCAGACUAAGAGGCGUUAAAUAGUUUUAAAGACCGAUUCAGAGAUUCGUAACUGAUAGCUAAUAAACGAUACUUCUUGUCACACCCCACCUUAGGCGGAAUCGUAGGAUAU